rnacentral:rRNA from 1 species
GACAGAGGCCCCGAGCGUUAGGCGGAAUCACUGGGCUUAAAGCGCGUGUAGGCGGAGGGCUAAGUACCUUGUGAAAUCCCCGGGCUCAACCCGGGAACUGCUUGGUAUACUGGUCCUCUUGAGGCAUCUAGGGGCGAGCGGAACAAACGGUGGAGCGGUGAAAUGCGUAGAUAUCGUUUGGAACGCCAACGGAGAAAUCAGCUCGCUGGGGAUGUCCUGACGCUGAGACGCGAAAGCCAGGGGAGCGAACAGG